GUGCAGCUCUUCUUCGCUCUAGGUUUUGUUGACAUUUCUAAGAUCUACACCAUAGAGGUACACAAGGGUGAAAGAAACCCAAUACAUAUUUUCAUUUAUAAGUAUGCACUCGUCGCGCGGAUAUGACGCGCUGUGCAUUUUGUGACGCCACUGACUGUAUUGCCGCGAAAUGUCAAAUCAUGGCAUCAGGAUUUCAGAAAUGAUCGUCUCUUGAGUUUGAAAAGCAUGAGAAGUCAAGGCAGAUGUGGUCCAGAUGGGGUUUCUGUCCAGUGCAUGGAUGCACUUCAGCUCCUUCCACAGAGAC